CAAAGCUUCUUGCAAACAAUGCAGGAAGAGUUUCAGUAAAUGAGGGCAAAAAAAAAAAAUAAAAAAAAAAUAAAAAGAAGACAGUAACGUAAAAGAAGAGAAAUGGGUUGAAUACCCAUUACUUUCUUCCUUUGGUACCCGAAACCUCACUUCCCCCUUCUGAUUCCAUUCUUCUUCACCUCAAUUCUCAUUCUUCUCCUUUAAUACUUUCAUCCUCAUAAUUUAUGUGCUAUCAUCAACUCAAAAACGUGGAUACCCAUUGUAGAUUAAGUUUGGAAAUUGAGUGAUUUGAAGGUUACUCAUUUUCUGAGUUGGAUUCUUUAGGGUACUUUGAGAUUCUCAAGGAGGCACUUCUGUUGGUCAAACUGAGGGUGCAGAAAGAGAUUGAGCUAGCUCUCCAUAGUUAUUCACAAGCAGCUGAGUAGCAGAUUUCUGGGCUUUGUUGUUGUUUUGGUAUGCCUCCAUUGUGCGGUGGCUGGUAUAUUCUUUUUGGUCGACUCUAGUAUGAUGCAGCCAUAGGGAUAGAGAGUCGUUUACUUACUUUGAGUUGUAAUUAUUAAACUCACUAUGUUAGCACUUGGUUGGGUUUGUACUCUUAAAACCCUAUGACGGAAGCUAUUUUGUUAUGAUGUAAAAUCUGGAUGUUGGAUA